rnacentral:rRNA from 1 species
AAUGAACGUUGGCGGCGUGGAUUAGGCAUGCAAGUCGCGCGAUUUCCUUCGGGGAAGAGCGGCGGAAGGGAGAGUAACGCGUAGAUACCUACCCUCGGGACCGGAAUAGCGACGGGAAACUGUCGGUAAUGCCGGAUAACGUCCCUGGACCAAAGGUGUGAAUCCGCCUGAGGAGGGGUCUGCGUCCUAUUAGCUAGUUGGCGGGGUAACGGCCCACCAAGGCGAAGAUGGGUACCGGGCGUGAGAGCGUGACCCGGCUCACUGGGACUGAGACACUGCCCAGACACCUACGGGUGGCUGCAGUCGAGAAUCUUCGGCAAUGAGCGCAAGCUUGACCGAGCGACGCCGCGUGCGGGAUGAAGGCUUUCGGGUUGUAAACCGCUGUCAGUGGGGAGGAAAUUCUUGGGGGUACUCCCCCUUGAUUGACCGAUCCGCAGAGGAAGGACGGGCUAAGUUCGUGCCAGCAGCCGCCGUAAGAC